rnacentral:lncRNA from 1 species
GUUCAUAGCUCUCGCAGCCUAAGCCUUGCGGGAGCGGUUCCGGGCUUCGGAGCCCGGCAGAGCCAGAGGCGGGGUCUGACCCAGGUCCCGGCUUGCCUCACCUGGCACCGCCUUCUUCCGUGUCUUAGAGGCCGGUCCCCCCUUCCCCCACAAAGCCCUCAGAGGUUUACUUCAAGGGACGGUAAAGGGCGUCGGUAUUUCCCCGCGGAUCGUGGAAAGAAAAACAUUCCAGUAAGCUCCUCCAUAGCCUUGGGGAUCCUACCAUUUGGCAGUUGUUUCUGUAUGGUGACUGGAUAAAUUGAGGUUGGUUUUCUGAUAACCUUGGGCUGCUCAUCUUCAGUUUCAUAAUAUAAUGGUGAGGUGGAAAGGGCCUGUGUAACUUUCCAGCCCUGCCUCCUCUUCCCCCGGGGCCUCUCUUUGUUGGAUCCAAGGGAACUCUAUGAUCCAUUCAGACAGAUGAAAUGUGAACCCUGCCUUUUGAACCAACACUUGACUCCAACUGGACAUUGGACCAUAAAUACUGUACUUUCCCACUAGUUCACUGAGCACGCCCUACUAGCUCAUGGCACAUGCUCCAAAAACCCUAUAAAAUCUG